GAAUUUUGGACAAUGGGCGCAAGCCUGAUCCAGCCAUUCCGCGUGAGUGAAGAAGGCCUUCGGGUUGUAAAACUCUCUCGGACGGAAAGAAAUCGCGCAGGCUCAUACCCUGACCGCAUGACCGUAGCGCUAUAAGAAGCACCCGCUAACUACGUGCCAGCAGCCGCGGGCAUACGUAGGGUGCGAGCGUUAAUCGGAAUUACUUGGCGUAAAGCGUGCGCAGGGUGUUGAUUAAGACAGGCGUGAAAUCCCCGGGCUUAACCUGGGAACUGCGCUUGUGACUGGUCAGCUAGAGUACGGCAGAGGGGGGUGGAAUUCCACGUGUAGCAGUGAAAUGCGUAGAGAUGUGGAGGGACACCGAUGGCGAAGGCAGCCCCCUGGGCCGAUACUGACGCUCAUACACGAAAGCGUGGGUAGCAAACAGG
rnacentral:rRNA from 1 species